rnacentral:rRNA from 1 species
AGGCAGCAGUAGGGAAUAUUGGUCAAUGGAGGCAACUCUGAACCAGCCAUGCCGCGUGCAGGAAGACUGCCCUAUGGGUUGUAAACUGCUUUUGUACGGGAAGAAACGUUGCUACGUGUAGCAAUUUGACGGUACCGUAAGAAUAAGGAUCGGCUAACUUCGUGCCAGCAGCCGCGGUAAUACGAAGGAUCCAAGCGUUGUCCGGAUUUACUGGGUUUAAAGGGAGCGUAGGCGGAUAGAUAAGUCAGUGGUGAAAGCCUUCAGCUUAACUGAAGAACUGCCAUUGAAACUGUCUAUCUCGAGUAUGGUUGAGGUCACUGGAAUGUAACAUGUAGCGGUGAAAUGCUUAGAUAUGUUACAGAACACCAAUUGCGAAGGCAGGUGACUAAGCCAUAACUGACGCUGAGGCUCGAAAGCGUGGGGAGCGAACAGGAUUAGAUACCCUGGUAG